rnacentral:rRNA from 1 species
UACGGAGGGUGCAAGCGUUGUUCGGAAUCACUGGGCGUAAAGGGUUCGUAGGUGGCUUGUUAAGUCAGACGUGAAAUCCCUCAGCUUAACUGGGGAACUGCGUCUGAGACUGGUGAGCUUGAGUGCAGGAGAGGAACGCGGAAUUCCAGGUGUAGCGGUGAAAUGCGUAGAUAUCUGGAGGAACACCGGUGGCGAAGGCGGCGUUCUGGACUGCAACUGACACUGAUGAACGAAAGCCAGGGGAGCAAACGGG